GUCCAAAAACUAGAAAAAAUCAAAAAAAAGUUAAAUGGAUCAAAUGUGAUAUUUGCAUCCAAAUCGAUGGUACCGUAUGAGAUGCAUUGUUUUUAGAAAUGAAACUUUAUUUUGUUGUGAACAUAUUUAUAUAUAAAUGUAAUAAUAAAUGAAACUUU